ensembl:lncRNA
CAAGUACGCGGGUUCCGCAUCCGCGGAUUCAACCAAUUGCCAAUAGUAAAGGUAGUACUAUAAGAUCCGAGGCUGGUUGAAUCCGUGGAUGCGGAACUCGCAGCUAUGGGUAUGGACCCCCGACUGUAUUUGCUGUUUUGAAACUGUGCUGCGUGUAGCUUCUGCAGGGACCUCUGAGCACUAAGGGAUUUAAAUCGUUAGUAGAAGGCCUAGGAAAAUAGGGCUUUGAGGGGCUGCCCCAAAACCCUUUCUGUAAGUAGGACCAAGGAUAAAAAUGGAGGGACUAUGCUUCAAUUUAAGUGGUUUCACGUGCUCAAGAGGCACCUCCCAUAUAUGGCCUCAAGUUGCCUCCGGAUUGAUUAGUUACUUAAAACAAGAGGAAUAUUCCUCAGGUGGCCCGUUUCUGAGGUAAAGAAAGCCAUGGUGGAGACAGACGGUCAACACGCCUGCUUACACGGGAUCGUGGGUGCUGCAUGACUAGAAAGAACCCACGUUUAAUUAGGAACUACGGAGAAUGGAAGUUAAGAGGUUGUCACAUACUCCAUGGGAAAGAAAAACAAGAUAAGACCUGCCAAAACACCUAUACAAGAAAGGAAGAAAGAGAUGGAGGAAAGGGAGAAAAGGAAGAAGAAGGAUGGGAGUUUCUUCAUUUAUUUCAGAAUAUGAAAGUGCUUUCUCUUAUGGAUAAACACAUGCCAAGACAUCUUGACAUUUGGUCAUCAUUAUUCUCUUCAUGUCAACCUACUUGAGGUGUUCAUCCUGCUAUUCUGGAAAUACUGGAAGAGUAUCCUCUAUAAGUAACCAGAGAAAGUCAAAGAACAGAGAACCCAGGCAUCUGUCUACGUUAAAAGGUGAUACAGUCAAAUGAAUCCACAGAAUGAUCCAUUUAACUAGACAGUCUACGCCAUACAACCAUUGAAAUCUGACCGGUGUUCCUGACGGCUCCUCUCCCGGUGCCACUGUGGGCUGCCUUAAAAGGAAAAUGCUUAUGUAAAGAAGACAAGUGUGGGAAGGCAGGCAUCAGCUUAACAGACCAAGGAGCUCAGCAAUUCCACCCACCGCUUCUUCCCCAGAGCAAACUCCCAAGAGGUGCUCUUCUAGCGAGAUGUCUGGUACUUUACAAUGCUUCCCCAGCCCUUUCUGAGGCGAUGAUUUCCUCCUGAUAGCUUAAUUUUAUUAGAUCAUAGGAGCACAGUCUGUAAAUGUGAAAACACUUAAAGGGAAAGAGAAACUUUCAAAGCAGCUGUUUAAUGUUGGGUUUAAAAAAAAAAAGGAAUCCGAGAGGGGAAAAAAAGAGAGAACUAAAUCUAAAACCUUACAAAAUAAAAGCUAUUUAAGCAGGCCAGCUUUCCCUUUCUCUCUCUACCUAAAAUAUUCAUGAAUUCUGCCACUGUGGUAUUGUAUGCUAGAUGCAAUCAAAAACUCUUAUGCAGAGCAGAAAUCAUUGAAAAGUGUACUGUUACCUUACAAUGCUUCACAGAAAAAUCCAUGAAAUCUGCAUUGCAAGGCACUGUCUCUUACUGUAGCAAGAUUGCUUCACAAAUUUCCAGGAGAAGGAGCAAUGAUCUUCACUUUCUGUUAUGCUAUUCAUAACAAGAUGCCUGGAGGAGGUAGCUGGCUGCUGUAAGGACUGAGGAUUCUCUGAGGCUCUGCUGGGAGGAGAAAGCAUUGAAAGGGGGCAAAUGAUCGCAUUCAGGGCCAAUUCAAUAUCGGUGCCCUGUAAUUCCAACCAGGGAAACAUUUGGGGAACUGGAGAGCAGAUCUACCUCUUCAUGAGGCAGAAAGACAACUCCAAAGACUUCUACUUCAAAAGAACGCUCACCCCUCUGCAGGAGAUGGCUCACACAAUCUCUCUGAGACACCAAGAAGAUUUGCUAUGUCCUUCUCAUCCAGUCAUCCCUGGCAUCAGCAUCUUCCUGGAAUUUACAUAGAGGAAGGAGAAGAUAAAGGAAAAAAGCUGAUAAAUUAGGUUUCUGAGCCUAUAUAACUGAAGGGCAGACCUUGGACUGCGGUGAAUUCAGUAAUGGAAAUGUCCUCUUACAGCCUCUUGGAGGCCAGCCUGCCUGCUUCUGUGGAGACAUUGUCACUUUACUGUGCUCCUUUAUUUUGGAAUUCCACAUUUAUAAUUACAAGAGAGAACUCAACACAUAAAAUGUGUUUUGUUGCAGGGCAUUUGUCUCCUUCCAGCUAAAUGUGCAGAGAUGGAUUUUUUCCUUCCUUUCUCUUCCUUUCAUUUUUCUUCUAAAUUUUAUAUGGAUCUUGCCUCUAGAAUUAACUGAGGUUAAGAAAUGUUCAUAACAAUACAUUGAAAACUGUAAGAAGAAUCUGCAGGGCUCAGUUGAUGGUGGGAAGAGUAGGAGGAGAAAGACAGAAGUUCCAGCAUCAUAUUUUCAUAUUGUAUAAAAUAGCUCUUUUCUGUGUAGUUAAAAGAUGUGUAACGUGUAUUGUUGCUGUUCAUGCUGAUGUCAAAGAGGGGAAAGACAACUUAAGUACUUGGUUAAUUCGUAAGUAUGUUUGAUGCAAAGGACAAAUAAACAUAACUUCAUGAAUAUAUAAUGUUGCUGAUGGCAGCUGAAAUUAUUUCUGGCCGUCAUUAUGGCUUUUCUCCAAGGUCAAUGCUGCCUGUUUGCUGGUAAAGUUGUCAAAGGGUUUUGUUAUCCUACUUGAACUGUGUCAUAGCAGCCACUUAAUUUCUGAAUCACGUAUUCCAGAUUCUGUGCCUUGAGCCAUUGCCCGGCAUCUCAGAGAAUUCCAUUUCUUGGAGGAGCUGGCUGGGAAAUAGUAUGUUUUAUACUUCUCCUGUCUCUGGACAGGAUCCUUCUGUCAAAUUCCGGGCUGAGAUGGCUUGAUUUCCUCUUUAAAAAGGAGCCUUCACUGUGGAAUCCCCUUAGGGAGAUUUCUCAGGAGACUGAUCAAAGUUUUAUGAAAAAAUAUAGGGAGAUGAGAUAACUCAGAGACAAUAGAACAUGAUAGACACUAAUGGCAUGGUCACUGUAAUCUAAACAGCAUGCUCCUUUUUUUCUCUUUUUACAUUAGUGUUUUCCCCCUCACUAUAAAUGCAAACCCAUAUACCCUAGGAAAAUACUUGAAAAUAUUUUU